GGGUGACAACCCAUCUUGAGAGAGAGAGUUCUGUCCCUUGGCCUGACAGGCUGAGGGGAUUGUCCUUGGUUUUGUUUACGUUUGGUUGUUGUGCUUCGAUUUGGAUAAAAGUGUUGGACCUUCAUGUUUACAUGUGCUUCUGCUGCGUUUUCUUCCUCUUCUGGUCUGCAACUGGACGGACUCCUAACAACCUUUCCCAUGAAGGUGUCGUCCACACCACUUCACUAAACGCCUACGGAAACGUCUUGCUGACAUCAGUUGACCCGGCAGGCAAGCCAAGGAUUUCCUUCAACCGAUAAGUUUCUUUCCAACAAUAAAAGAAUAAUAAUACCGUAGAUUGAAUUUUGAGGACCAAUUUUAGAAUGUGCGUUCCAGUAGAACCAGAACACAGGAGUACAUGACGGGACAGACACGAAUGCUUCUAGUCGAAUGUUAUGCACUAAUAUGGAUGAUUUUGGAGAAUUAUGCCUACACGUGACCUUUAACCUAAGCUGAUGGUAGACUUUUGGUUUAAUAGUUGCUGUUGAAGAACGCCCCACACAUAUACAUGCAUGCAUAGAGUUGUAUAUUCAUGUUUAUUGUUGAUUCUGAUACACAGAUAUAAACAGACACAAAGCAGCGCAUCCACACAUUAAUUCCUUGUUGAUGCUGACCUCAUCGUGGAGCCCGCUGCUUGAGUCAAGUCAGAGCUGUUGGAAUCCACUACAAAGCAGACAGCGACUGUAGACACUGUGUCCUAUGUAUCCUUAUGUCUCUUGACCUCAGGUUGACCCAGGAUGCACUGGUGCUUUAGUGUUGCACUGUUUACUCAGGGUGAGUCUCUUAAACAUUACACGCUGUCGGAAAUGAAAUGAAACAUGUGUGUGUAGUAUAUAUAUGUAGAUAUCUCCCAGACAGGUAAUUCCUCUCAAUGCCACACUUGUCUUUCGAGUCCCUAAUUAUCCCCAUCCACACAUGGAGUGGAAAGCUUGUUGUCGAGGCCCUUAGAAGCCAGUUGAGUAAACAAUAUUGCUGAACACUGCUCAAUGCACAAUACCAGCUUUGAUUAUUUUCCACUAAUGCCCAUAUUUCAGGUUCAUUACAAAGACAACAAUUCUACCCCAAACUUACUUUGAUGUGUAUUUAGCUAUGUCCCUUAUUGAUAAAUAUCACUAAACGAUUUGUAAUGAAAAGCAAUAUUACUUGCUGUUAGUAUUAAACACGUGACAGUAACAUACUAGAGGUGUACAGAUAGACCGCUGUACACUGUAAUCUUAACUUGAACAAUACACAGACACAAAAAACCGUAUUUUUUCAUAAAGUCUGAAAAGUUAAAUGCAAAAUAAAAGCAGAUGUUGAUUCAUAGUUCAAAAGUACUGAUAUGCAAAAUGUAUUUCACAAAUUGACAGUAUGUAUUUAUGGUGCAAAAACUGUUUAUUCGGCUUAGUAUUUGCUUAUAAAUUAAUAAGACACAGCAUCUCUCGCACCAUUGGACUAAAGUUUGCGAACACAGCAGUCAGUCAGGGUCAGGGUUGGUCGUGAGUAUCGAAGCUGUUUUCUUCUGCUCAUUAGUUUUCUCACAUGUGACAAUAUUAAUACCUUUAACGACUUUAGGAUUCUGAAAGACUUUGUCUUUUCUUACUUAAACUAUUACAAACUAUGUUCUAAAGAAGAACAAAAGAAGACCAAUACAAAUCUCCUCCAUCACCCGCCCUGUCAAUUAUUUAUUGCUCCAGUCGAGUGUUUUGUCCAUCAAAGAAUUGAACAGAGGUUAGGAGCAUGUGGCAGGUUAUUUACGAGACAGAGUAUGUGUUUUUGUUGUUUGUAUUUGACCAAUUGACAGACACAAAACUGAUUCAGGUAAAACGAAACUUCAGCGAUAUUCGUUGGAUUUUCGUAAAUCUCUCUUUUUUUUUUGCGUAAAUACUGGCAAGUGACACCUCCAUACAGCCGCCAUGGCGAGCAUGAUCAGUCAUCUCACAACCGGGAUAUUUCCUUGUUAUUUCACUUUACAUCGUUGUCACAUUGUUGUUACAACCAUCACUCAACUUAGACUCUUAGAGGAUUCACAAGGCCACGACACGGUCACGUGAUGACUGGAGGACAGAUAGGGUGCAAGCCAGAGGUCACGUCGCAACAAUCCCAUGGCCGCCACUGUCCUAGUCACGUGACUAAACCCACCCUCCAUGGACUGCCAGUAUUUUAGGCCGACUGUGAGUUUGCACAAACUCCAGUUCACGAAUAUCAAACAUUUGAAGUAGCCUUCCUCCACAAGGCUAGAGAGGUCCUGAAAUAUGUUUAUUGACAUGGCCGCCAUCCCUAGGGCUCUGACACGCCCCCUAAAACCUUUUCUUUUUCUUGCUGACUGCCACACAUUUUGAGUUUAUCCUGCAUAAAUUCUCAAAUACUUUCAUUCCGCUAUAGUCAAACGUACUUAUUACAUUCCUUAAUCCACAAUAAGGGUAAGUAGAAAAAUAGUUAAUAACACUUUCUUUACUGUUACCAUAGAGACGAUGGUAUGUGUGGAUAAUAAUAAAAAAUGAUUUAUAUAACACUUUACCACAAGCUGAAAGGCUUGCUCAAAAUUUUUUAAAAUAAAUAAUAUAAUAAAUAACAUAAUAAUGAAGGCUGGGCUUGAAUUAAAGACUUCAUUGCCUGCCGGUAGGUGUCGCCACUGAUGUGGAGAAGACGACCGCCAUCAGCAUGGAUGCCGUCAGCAUUCACACAGUCGCCGGCUGUCUCACACAAAACACUUAUACAAACACUUGUAAGUGUCAGGAAAGAAAAUAGAUAUCACGAGACUUUGUUUCAGCUGCAGACAUCUCUACUGUAUGAAGUAAAGUAGGUAAACAGAAACUCAGUCACUACACACAAGACUUCAAAAGAUGAAAGAAGAUCCUGUUACCAGGGACAACAUUGACAUCCUCUUCGUCUGUUUCCGAUGCAAAUAUUUAAUCUUCAAGGAUUCAACUUUCAGAGGAGAUAUAAAGGAUAUAAAGGAGGGGAAACUGUAGGACUGACUAUUGGUUCUCGAAAUCUUUAAUAUCACUGUUCUCGCAUCUUGCAACUGUGAAGUCUCAGAUUCCUUCUUUCUUCUCUGGUCGUCUGACACUGAGUCAUCAUGCGACACCUGGCGGUCGUCGUGGCGAUGCUGAUGAUGCUGUGUCUAGCGACACCUGGAGCUUGCUCACCUGCUGCCAGGGCACCGCUAGAUGAGGUGCUAUCAGAGCCCCUGUUGGAAAGAGGAGUGCUGGUAGAUGAUCCAUGGGCCGAGCCACGACGGUUACCAGAUGAUCCUCCAUCAUCAGAGCCCCUGUGGGAAAGAAGAGUGCUGUCAGAACAGUUAGAUGAUCCAUGGGUCGAGCCACGACAGUUAGCUGAUCCUCCAUCAUCAGAGCCACGACCUGUCUUAGCAGCCGUAUAGCAGUUCCACUCCAAGGUGAUGUCUGGCUAACCUACCAUCACCACAGCCAUCACCGCAACCAUCACAAGCUCGACUGCUACGACCACCACAGCUUCCAACAUUCACACUUUCCUCGCGUCUGUAAGCAGCUUGCUGUCGUGUUUUUGUUGUUGAAAAAGAUGUUAAGAUGAUAAUGAAGUCAUCUGUGAAAGAUCACUCAAGCGAAGACAACACAAUGUUGUUAGUAAAGAAAUACUAGAAAAA
rnacentral:lncRNA from 1 species